AUUGAACGCUGGCGGCAUGCUUUACACAUGCAAGUCGAACGGCAGCACGAAAGAGCUUGCUCUUUUGGUGGCGAGUGGCGAACGGGUGAGUAAUGCAUCGGAACGUACCGAGUAAUGGGGGAUAACUGUCCGAAAGGAUAGCUAAUACCGCAUACGCUUUGAGAAGGAAAGUGGGGGCUCUUCGGACCUCACGUUAUUCGAGCGGCCGAUGUCUGAUUAGCUAGUUGGUGGGGUAAAGGCCUACCAAGGCGACGAUCAGUAGCGGGUCUGAGAGGAUGAUCCGCCACACUGGGACUGAGACACGGCCCAGACUCCUACGGGAGGCAGCAGUGGGGAAUUUUGGACAAUGGGCGCAAGCCUGAUCCAGCCAUGCCGCGUGUCUGAAGAAGGCCUUCGGGUUGUAAAGGACUUUUGUUAGGGAAGAAAAGGAUAGUGUUAAUACCAUUAUCUGCUGACGGUACCUAAAGAAUAAGCACCGGCUAACUACUU
rnacentral:rRNA from 1 species